UUGAGCUGUUUUUAGGUUACUAUGCUAGCUGCAUAAAAAAGAUUGACAAAAUUGAAAAUUCUCAUGAUAGUGAAGUAGGUGAUGUAAACAACCAGCGAAAGACAUCUGAGAAGUUUAUUCUGGAACUUCUACCUGCUGAAAGAAGCUUGCAAAGUCAAAGCUUGGAAGCACAUCUGAAAUUGAUGAUACCUUGAGAGUGAAGCGUCAUCCAUGUAUAUUUGCCAUUGGUGAUUCUUCUGGCUUUAGGGUCUCCUGUGGGAGGCGUGUUCCAGCUACCGGCCGUCAGAUACGAAUGCCAUUAGGCUGAAAAAAAAAAAGGACACGGUCACCUCAAGAUUAUGUUGAACCCGACGCUGUCGGUGCCGGACAUCUGGCUUUAUGGGCGAUUGCACACCGGGAGAGAAGGGCAGCAGAGGGCCCAUCGGAUUUCGUUCUGCCCCGGCCUCCCCUUCUAUCUCUGACGAUAUGCAGGGAAAAAAAAUGGUACCGAGGCAAUAGGGUCAAAGCCGGUUUCAUUCUGAUUUUGAGUCCGCCGGUAAAGAAGCAGCGGUGGAUUUUCCGGAUGCGACAGUGGGUCCGACGAAAAGAAAAGAAAAAAACUUUCCGGUCAAGGUUACUUACUGAUGAGUACAUGAGCGUUGAGAGGCAGAGGCACAUAUAGAGGAAGAAGAAGAAGUAAAACAAAACAGGAAGAAAGUGGUGACUAGCAGGUUUGUUUAUAUGAGGCUCCUCGGGCAAUCAACGAGAGAUUCAACACUUCAAAGAGUCGUUGGGCAUAUAUAGGCC